rnacentral:rRNA from 1 species
UACGUAGGGUGCAAGCGUUAAUCGGAAUUACUGGGCGUAAAGCGUGCGCAGGCGGUUUUGUAAGUCUGUCGUGAAAGCCCCGGGCUCAACCCGGGAAGUGCACUCGAAACUGGCAGGCUAGAGUAUCGGAGAGGUUGGUGGAAUUCUCGGUGUAGAGGUGAAAUUCGUAGAUAUCGAGAGGAACACCGGUGGCGAAGGCGGCCAACUGGACGAAUACUGACGCUGAGAACUCGAAAGACGUGGGGAGCAAACAGG